rnacentral:misc_RNA from 1 species
AGCAGCCGCGGUAAUUCCAGCUCCAAUAGCGUAUAUUAAAGUUGUUGCAGUUAAAAGCUCGUAGUUGAAUUUCGGGAUCAAAGAAUCGGUCAUGCCUUGGUAUGUACUGGUCUUAUUGGUUCUCACCUUCUAAAGAACCAUGAUGUCAUUCAUUUGAUGUUAUGGGGAAUUAGGACUGUUACCUUGAAAAAUUAGAGUGUUUAAAGCAAGCUUACGCUUGAAUACAUUAGCAUGGAAUAAUGAAAUAGGACACCAGAUUCUAUUUUGUUGGUUUCUAGGAUCGAUGUAAUGAUUAAUAGGGAUAGUUGGGGGCAUUAGUAUUCAAUUGUCAGAGGUGAAAUUCUUGGAUUUAUUGAAGACUAACUACUGCGAAAGCAUUUGCCAAGGAUGCUUUCAUUAAUCAAGAACGAAAGUUAGGGGAUCGAAGACGAUCAGAUACCGUCGUAGUCUUAACCAUAAACUAUGCCGACUAGGGAUCGGAUGAUGUUAAUUUUUAAUGUACUUCUAACG